GAUGAACGCUGGCGGCGUGCUUAACACAUGCAAGUCGAACGAAGCAUUUGCGACAGAUUUUUUCGGAAUGAAGUUGCUUAUGACUGAGUGGCGGACGGGUGAGUAACGCGUGGGUAACCUGCCUUGUACUGGGGGAUAGCAGCUGGAAACGGCUGGUAAUACCGCAUAAGCGCACAGUGUUGCAUGACAUGGUGUGAAAAACUCCGGUGGUAUAAGAUGGACCCGCGUCUGAUUAGCUAGUUGGUGAGAUAACAGCCCACCAAGGCGACGAUCAGUAGCCGACCUGAGAGGGUGACCGGCCACAUUGGGACUGAGACACGGCCCAGACUCCUACGGGAGGCAGCAGUGGGGAAUAUUGCACAAUGGAGGAAACUCUGAUGCAGCGACGCCGCGUGAGUGAAGAAGUAAUUCGUUAUGUAAAGCUCUAUCAGCAGGGAAGAUAGUGACGGUACCUGACUAAGAAGCGCCGGCUAAAUACGUG
rnacentral:rRNA from 1 species